rnacentral:rRNA from 1 species
UGCAGUCGAGCGGAGUUAUUCCUUCGGGGAUAACUUAGCGGCGGACGGGUGAGUAACACGUAGGCAACCUGCCUGUAAGAUCGGGAUAACUACCGGAAACGGUAGCUAAGACCGAAUAAUCAGCUUGGUCGCAUGACCGAGCUGGGAAAAGCGGAGCAAUCUGCUACUUACAGAUGGGCCUGCGGCGCAUUAGCUAGUUGGUGGGGUAACGGCUCACCAAGGCGACGAUGCGUAGCCGACCUGAGAGGGUGAACGGCCACACUGGGACUGAGACACGGCCCAGACUCCUACGGGAGGCAGCAGUAGGGAAUCUUCCGCAAUGGACGCAAGUCUGACGGAGCAACGCCGCGUGAGUGAUGAAGGUUUUCGGAUCGUAAAGCUCUGUUGCCAGGGAAGAACGCUUGGGAGAGUAACUGCUCUGAAGGUGACGGUACCUGAGAAGAAAGCCCCGGCUAACUACGUGCCAGCAGCCGCGGUAAUACGUAGGGGGCAAGCGUUGUCCGGAAUUAUUGGGCGUAAAGCGCGCGCAGGCGGCUUUGUAAGUCUGGUGUUUAAACCUAGGGCUCAACCCUGGGUCGCAUUGGAAACUGCAAGGCUUGAGUGCAGAAGAGGAGAGUGGAAUUCCACGUGUAGCGGUGAAAUGCGUAGAGAUGUGGAGGAACACCAGUGGCGAAGGCGACUCUCUGGGCUGUAACUGACGCUGAGGCGCGAAAGCGUGGGGA